rnacentral:rRNA from 1 species
UGGGGGGGCGCAAUAUUUGCGGCAAUGGGCGAAAGCCUGAUGCAGCCACGCCGCGUGCGGGAUGAAGGCCUUCGGGUUGUAAACCUCUUUUCUUGGGGACGAAGAAGGACGGUCCCUCCCGACUAAGUCUCGGCUAACUCCCUGCCUGCCGCCCC